AAACAAAAACAAAAAAACAAAAAAACCGAGUACAGCAGCAGCGCAGAAGACGAGCAGAGAAAAGAAAGAACAAAGAGAAAAAAGAUUUGCAGCUUAGAUUCUCCUCUAUCAGUCCAUAUCCCUCUCUAAUUCCCACUCUGCUCCUUUAAUCAACACCACAAUGAACCCAUCAACACCAAUUCCCGAAGAUUUCUCUUCUCUUCCUCUCGAAUUCAUUCCAUAUCCUCCUCUUCCUGAUCCUACUCCUGCUCCUGCUCCUACUCCUAAUCCCAAUCCCAAUCCCAAUUCAAUCUCAAAUCCCACUCUCUCCCUCAACUCAAAUCCUAAUCACUUCUUCUCCUUCUCCGUCCCUAAGAAACGCCGUCGCGGCCGCUCCCAACGCACCGCCGCUACCUCUACGUCGUCGUUUCAGCUUCCUCAGCUUCCUCAAUUUCAUACCAAACCUGACAUCCGUGUAUUACAAACCCCUAACCCUAAUCCUAAUCCAUAUCCUAGUGCACUAACUCAACAGUCAGUUCCCGACAUUGCUGAAGAGAUAAUUGUGAUCAACAAGGAAUCCACAUCCGAGGCAUUGAUUGCACUCUCCGCAGGAUUUCCCGCUGAUUCCUUAACAGACGAGGAAAUUGAAGCUGGCGUAGUUUCAGUUAUUGGUGGAAUUGAGCAGGUUAAUUACAUCAUUAUUAGAAACCAUAUAAUUGCGAAAUGGCGCGAGAAUGUGAACAAUUGGAUAGCCAAAGAAAUUUUCACAAAUUCGGUGCCGAAACACUGUCACGGUCUUCUGGAUUCUGCUUAUGACUAUCUAGUUUCGCGCGGGUACAUCAAUUUUGGAGUCGCACAAUCUAUUAAAGAGAAAAUCCCCAAUGAGUUUACUAAGUCCAACAUAAUCAUCAUCGGUGCUGGUUUGGCUGGAUUGGCCGCUGCGAGACAGUUGAUGAGAUUUGGGUUUAAGGUUACAGUUUUGGAGGGAAGAAAACGCGCUGGUGGGAGAGUUUAUACCAAGAAAAUGGAGGGAGGAGGAGUAAAUAAGGUUUCUGCUUCGGCAGAUUUAGGUGGGAGUGUUUUGACAGGGACUUUGGGAAAUCCUUUGGGAAUUUUGGCAAGACAGUUAGGGCAUUCAUUGCACAAGGUGAGAGAUAAAUGUCCACUCUAUAGUGUCGAUGGGAAACCAGUUGAUUUGGAUACUGAUAUGAAGGUUGAAACAGCUUUUAAUCGACUGUUGGAUAAGGCUAGUAGGCUUAGGCAGUUGAUGGGGGAGGUUUCAAUGGAUUUGUCAUUAGGGGCAGCAUUAGAAACUUUUAGGCAGGUGUAUGGGGAUGCAGUGAAUAAGGAGGAAAUAAACUUGUUUAAUUGGCAUUGUGCAAAUUUGGAAUAUGCCAAUGCUGGUUUAUUGUCAAAGCUUUCUUUGGCGUUUUGGGACCAGGAUGAUCCCUAUGAUAUGGGAGGAGAUCAUUGUUUUAUGCCUGGAGGAAAUGGGAGGUUGGUUCAGGCUUUAGCAGAAAAUGUGACUAUUUUGUAUGAGAAGACCGUGCAUACUAUUAGGUAUGGGAGUGAUGGCGUGCAGGUUAUUUCUGGAACUCAGGUUUUUGAAGGAGAUAUGGCAUUGUGCACAGUUCCACUUGGGGUAUUGAAGAGUGGGUCCAUAAAGUUUAUUCCUGAAUUGCCGCAGAAGAAGCUUGAUGGGAUUAAGAGGUUGGGGUAUGGGCUGUUGAAUAAGGUUGCAAUGCUUUUCCCGUACGUGUUCUGGGAAACUGAUCUUGACACUUUUGGGCAUUUGACUCAUGACUCGAGCACUCGAGGGGAGUUCUUUUUGUUUUAUAGCUAUGCAACAGUUUCUGGUGAACCUCUAUUGAUUGCGCUGGUAGCAGGUGAAGCUGCACAUAAGUUUGAGAGUAUGCCUCCCACAGAUGCAGUGACACAGGUUCUUCAGAUUCUUAAGGGUAUAUAUGAACCAAAGGGAAUCACUGUUCCUGAGCCCAUCCAAACUGUCUGUACAAGAUGGGGUAGUGAUCCUUUUACCCUUGGUUCUUACUCAAAUGUUGCUGUUGGAGCGUCUGGAGAUGACUAUGAUAUAUUAGCAGAAAGUGUUGGGGAUGGAAGACUCUUCUUUGCCGGGGAAGCCACCACUAGGCGUUAUCCUGCAACCAUGCAUGGUGCCUUUCUCACUGGUUUAAGGGAAGCUGCAAAUAUAGCUCGCUGUGUUAGUGCUCGAACCUUGAAGAUGAAGGUUGGUCGGAGCCCUUCAAAGAAUGCUCAUAACUGUGCUUCUCUUCUAGUUGAUUUAUUUAGGGAGCCUGAUUUAGAAUUUGGGAGCUUUGCUACCAUUUUUAGUCAAAAGAAUGCUGAUCCAAAGUCCACAGCUAUUCUGAGGGUGACAUUUAAUGAGCCUCGAAGAAAAAGUCAGGAAAGUUGUGGGUCAGACCAACAACAUUCCAAUAAAUUACUUUUUCAGCAGCUUCAGUCGCAUUUUAAUCAGCAACAACACCUUCAUGUUUACACACUGUUAUCAAAACAACAAGCUUUUGAGCUAAGAGAGGUGAGAGGGGGCGAUGAAAUAAGGUUGAAUUAUCUAUGUGAGAAGUUAGGAGUGAAGCUGGUAGGAAGAAAGGGUCUGGGGCCUGCUGGUGAUUCUCUUAUUGCUGCUAUUAAAGCUGAGAGGGGCAGUCGCAAAGCCAUGCCUUCUUCUUUGGCUCUUAAAGUGGGCACUUUGAAGGGGACAUCAAAGCUAAAGACAGGCACUUUGAAGCAGAAAUUGAUAAGGCGGGCUAAAGUCGUGAGUAACAGCAAUAGGUUGGUUCCAUCUCCCAAUUUAAAUGCAGUAAAUGGUCAAGUCACAGAGGAAAACGUGACUGCAAGUCAGACACAUUCUGAUAUAUCUGGUCCAGGGCAAAGUCAAGUUGACGGAUUGAAGAAUGAGCAGAUGACACCCUUCGGCUGACAGUUGAGAUGUUGUGUAACUACUGAUGGUAUUUGGAUUGAAUUUGGACGUCACUGUUGAAUCCAUCAACAAAGGCCAAUUGGACCACUUCGAAAGCACUACUCCCAACUGUUUGAAGAUAACUGUAGCAGGGUGCCAGCUUUGAUAUUUUCUAAUUACCAUCUGCAGUAUCCUUCACUAGGAAGCUCCAAUUCUUUGAAGUCUGUAAGAGAAGUGCUGCAGAGACUCUGGACAAAGUCAGGUUCUAGGCAGAUUAGAAACUGUUGUAAGGGGAGUAACAAAGGGCCUGUCUCAAGCACAAUUGAAGUAAACUCUAGAAGAGGAAAUGAGCUUCAAGGCAAAAGAAGAGGGAAUCAGUGAUCUGUUACUGGCAGGAGAUUCUUGAAGAAGAUCGUUAGAGCAAGAAGCGGGGGAAGUGACACGUGGAAGAGGAUUCUAUGGAGGGCUCAAGUUGUUAAAAGGGUAGGUGUGGAGAAUUUUCUUCAUUGUAAAGGGAAGAUGAUUUCCUUCUCUGCAGUAUUAAUCUCCUGGUGGAUGUUAAAUUGCCCAUUCGAAGUUACUGUAAUAACAAGACCGCUGUCAAUAUAGCUGCUAAUCAUGUUUUUCACGAGAGACCGCAUAUUACAUUGAUUGUCAUAUUGUUAGGGUGCAACUCCAAAGAGGCUUCAUCCGCACUUCCCAUCUGUCAACAAAGGAGCAACUUACAGACAUCCUUACCAAGCCGUUGUCUGCUGAUCAACAUCAAUACCUGUCUUCCAAGUUGAAUAUGUUGUCUAUCCCAGCUUCAACUUGAAAGGGGAGAGGGAGGGGAGUGUAGAGAAUAUUAGAGUAUAUUCUUUGUAAUUUGUUGUUUAUUUGUACUUGAUUGAUAAAUAAUUAGUGAUAGGACUGUUUUGG